GGUAGGGAGUUUGCAUUAUUAUAAGAGAUAAUAAAAUAUAUAUACAUGCCUAAAGGUUCAUAUACCAAAGACAAAUAAUUAGAAGCAGAAGAAUGCCUAAUGCAUUACAUGCAAGCUAUAGUCAGUUGAAAUUUGACAAAUUAUGCACACAACUCAAAAUAAAUGAAGAUCAGAUAGGUGAGAAAACAGAGGGUUAAAAGAGCCAAAGAGACUUGUAGAAAAGGACUAUCAGAGAAUGGCAAACAACUAUCAACCAGCCAAGAGACAAUCAACCUUGACUACCAAUCUUUCUGUGGAUCCUUGAGUUGUCACUGAUU